rnacentral:rRNA from 1 species
UCCUGACUGACCGAUAGUGAACCAGUACCGUGAGGGAAAGGCGAAAAGAACCCCGGCGAGGGGAGUGAAAAAGAACCUGAAACCGUGUACGUACAAGCAGUGGGAGCACGCUUAGGCGUGUGACUGCGUACCUUUUGUAUAAUGGGUCAGCGACUUAUAUUCUGUAGCAAGGUUAACCGAAUAGGGGAGCCGAAGGGAAACCGAGUCUUAACUGGGCGUUAAGUUGCAGGGUAUAGACCCGAAACCCGGUGAUCUAGCCAUGGGCAGGUUGAAGGUUGGGUAACACUAACUGGAGGACCGAACCGACUAAUGUUGAAAAAUUAGCGGAUGACUUGUGGCUGGGGGUGAAAGGCCAAUCAAACCGGGAGAUAGCUGGUUCUCCCCGAAAGCUAUUUAGGUAGCGCCUCGUGAAUUCAUCUCCGGGGGUAGAGCACUGUUUCGGCAAGGGGGUCAUCCCGACUUACCAACCCGAUGCAAACUGCGAAUACCGGAGAAUGUUAUCACGGGAGACACACGGCGGGUGCUAACGUCCGUCGUGAAGAGGGAAACAACCCAGACCGCCAGCUAAGGUCCCAAAGUCAUGGUUAAGUGGGAAACGAUGUGGGAAGGCCCAGACAGCCAGGAUGUUGGCUUAGAAGCAGCCAUCAUUUAAAGAAAGCGUAAUAGCUCACUGGUCGAGUCGGCCUGCGCGGAAGAUGUAACGGGGCUAAACCAUGCACCGAAGCUGCGGCAGCGAUGCUUAUGCGUUGUUGGGUAGGGGAGCGUUCUGUAAGCCUGCGAAGGUGUGCUGUGAGGCAUGCUGGAGGUAUCAGAAGUGCGAAUGCUGACAUAAGUAACGAUAAAGCGGGUGAAAAGCCCGCUCGCCGGAAGACCAAGGGUUCCUGUCCAACGUUAAUCGGGGCAGGGUGAGUCGACCCCUAAGGCGAGGCCGAAAGGCGUAGUCGAUGGGAAACAGGUUAAUAUUCCUGUACUUGGUGUUACUGCGAAGGGGGGACGGAGAAGGCUAUGUUGGCCGGGCGACGGUUGUCCCGGUUUAAGCGUGUAGGCUGGUUUUCCAGGCAAAUCCGGAAAAUCAAGGCUGAGGCGUGAUGACGAGGCACUACGGUGCUGAAGCAACAAAUGCCCUGCUUCCAGGAAAAGCCUCUAAGCAUCAGGUAACAUCAAAUCGUACCCCAAACCGACACAGGUGGUCAGGUAGAGAAUACCAAGGCGCUUGAGAGAACUCGGGUGAAGGAACUAGGCAAAAUGGUGCCGUAACUUCGGGAGAAGGCACGCUGAUAUGUAGGUGAAGUCCCUUGCGGAUGGAGCUGAAAUCAGUCGAAGAUACCAGCUGGCUGCAACUGUUUAUUAAAAACACAGCACUGUGCAAACACGAAAGUGGACGUAUACGGUGUGACGCCUGCCCGGUGCCGGAAGGUUAAUUGAUGGGGUCAGCGCAAGCGAAGCUCUUGAUCGAAGCCCCGGUAAACGGCGGCCGUAACUAUAACGGUCCUAAGGUAGCGAAAUUCCUUGUCGGGUAAGUUCCGACCUGCACGAAUGGCGUAAUGAUGGCCAGGCUGUCUCCACCCGAGACUCAGUGAAAUUGAACUCGCUGUGAAGAUGCAGUGUACCCGCGGCAAGACGGAAAGACCCCGUGAACCUUUACUAUAGCUUGACACUGAACAUUGAGCCUUGAUGUGUAGGAUAGGUGGGAGGCUUUGAAGUGUGGACGCCAGUCUGCAUGGAGCCGGCCUUGAAAUACCACCCUUUAAUGUUUGAUGUUCUAACGUGGACCCGUGAUCCGGGUUGCGGACAGUGUCUGGUGGGUAGUUUGACUGGGGCGGUCUCCUCCUAAAGAGUAACGGAGGAGCACGAAGGUUGGCUAAUCCUGGUCGGACAUCAGGAGGUUAGUGCAAUGGCAUAAGCCAGCUUGACUGCGAGCGUGACGGCGCGAGCAGGUGCGAAAGCAGGUCAUAGUGAUCCGGUGGUUCUGAAUGGAAGGGCCAUCGCUCAACGGAUAAAAGGUACUCCGGGGAUAACAGGCUGAUACCGCCCAAGAGUUCAUAUCGACGGCGGUGUUUGGCACCUCGAUGUCGGCUCAUCACAUCCUGGGGCUGAAGUAGGUCCCAAGGGUAUGGCUGUUCGCCAUUUAAAGUGGUACGCGAGCUGGGUUUAGAACGUCGUGAGACAGUUCGGUCCCUAUCUGCCGUGGGCGCUGGAGAACUGAGGGGGGCUGCUCCUAGUACGAGAGGACCGGAGUGGACGCA